GCCGCUUCGAGUUUAGUCGCGAGUCAAAAAUUAUUCAUUUAUUUCUAUUUAUAAUAACAAUAACCCAAUAUAACAUUUAAAUUUAAUGUAUCAUAGUUUACAGUUGGUAGUUUAAUUAACGGAAUCAUGAAGCUUAUACUUUUAUUAGUUCCGUUGGUUGCCAUUUUUGGUAUGGUCUCAUCAAGGCAGUGCACCACGGAGGGUAGAUUUUGCAAUGAUACAAACGUGAAAUGUUGUCAAAGCUUGUAUUGUUAUAACAAUAUAUGUUUGGAAAAACCGUAGGUUAACCAUCAGCUUGUUGAGUGAAAAAACGCCUUGUUCUGAUGGCAGUUUUCGCUGAAAAUUGAAUUUCGAGUGUUGUUGCAGUAAACCGAAAAUUAAAAAAUAACUGAAAAAUUUUGCUUAUAGAUAUUAAUAAAAAUAACUGUUGGAAUUUAAUUUCAUGUUUUGUGAAAAUAUAAUAUAUUUUGUAUUUUCUUUUUAAUUUUUAAGUAAUGCA